rnacentral:rRNA from 1 species
CAGUCGCCGCGGUAAUACGUAGGUGGCAAGCGUUGUCCGGAAUUAUUGGGCGUAAAGGGCUCGCAGGCGGUUUCUUAAGUCUGAUGUGAAAGCCCCCGGCUCAACCGGGGAGGGUCAUUGGAAACUGGGAAACUUGAGUGCAGAAGAGGAGAGUGGAAUUCCACGUGUAGCGGUGAAAUGCGUAGAGAUGUGGAGGAACACCAGUGGCGGAGGCGACUCUCUGGUCUGUAACUGACGCUGAGGAGCGAAAGCGUGGGGAGCGAACAGGAUUAGAUACCCCGGUAGUCCCUGUCUCUUAUAA